UAUAAUGUGGGCAAUGUACUAUUAUGUUGGCAAAAAAAUAGAAGACAUAGAAGCCUCACAUAAACUAAUGUGUAUGCUUCUCAUCUCAUGUAUUUUCAUAGGACAAAACUACUAUUUUCUCUAACAUUUAUUUAUUUCGAGAGAGUGGAAUGAACUGAAGUGCCGCAGGCUUCUAGAAGGUGAGAUCCAAGGAUUCCAGGAUGCGCUAGCAGCCUUCAUCAUGGAUGAGGUGUGUAGUAAUGAUGAGUUCUUCUCCCUUUGUCAGGCCGAGACUAAGGAUCACAAUCAAUAUGCAAAAGCUACCUAUGAUAUGUUACUAUAGAAGAGAAUUUCAAUAGACAUAUGAUCAUAUAAAUCACUCAAUUUUUAUAAAGUCAUUGUUAUAGUGUUUAAUACUGAUGGAUUUGUAAUGUUUCAUUUCUAAUUUAACUUAAGAAUACUAUUUCCACCAAAAAUAUAAAAAUAAUUUAUUAAAAAAACAAAAACAAAUAGCUGCCAACCAGCACUGAGCCAGU
rnacentral:lncRNA from 1 species